GACGAACGCUGGCGGCGUGCUUAACACAUGCAAGUCGAACGGAAAGGCCCUUCGGGGUACUCGAGUGGCGAACGGGUGAGUAACACGUGGGUGAUCUGCCCUGCACUCUGGGAUAAGCCUGGGAAACUGGGUCUAAUACCGGAUAGGACCACACACUUCAUGGCGAGUGGUGCAAAGCUUUUGCGGUGUGGGAUGAGCCCGCGGCCUAUCAGCUUGUUGGUGGGGUAAUGGCCCACCAAGGCGACGACGGGUAGCCGGCCUGAGAGGGUGACCGGCCACACUGGGACUGAGAUACGGCCCAGACUCCUACGGGAGGCAGCAGUGGGGAAUAUUGCACAAUGGGCGCAAGCCUGAUGCAGCGACGCCGCGUGAGGGAUGACGGCCUUCGGGUUGUAAACCUCUUUCAGUAGGGACGAAGCGAAAGUGACGGUACCUACAGAAGAAGGACCGGCCAACUACGUGCCAGCAGCCGCGGUAAUACGUAGGGUCCGAGCGUUGUCCGGAAUUACUGGGCGUAAAGAGCUCGUAGGUGGUUUGUCGCGUUGUUCGUGAAAACUCACAGCUUAACUGUGGGCGUGCGGGCGAUACGGGCAGACUAGAGUACUGCAGGGGAGACUGGAAUUCCUGGUGUAGCGGUGGAAUGCGCAGAUAUCAGGAGGAAUACCGGUGGCGAAGGCGGGUCUCUGGGCAGUAACUGACGCUGAGGAGCGAAAGCGUGGGUAGCGAACAGGAUUAGAUACCCUGGUAGUCCACGCCGUAAACGGUGGGUACUAGGUGUGGGUUUCCUUCCUUGGGAUCCGUGCCGUAGCUAACGCAUUAAGUACCCCGCCUGGGGAGUACGGUCGCAAGACUAAAACUCAAAGGAAUUGACGGGGGCCCGCACAAGCGGCGGAGCAUGUGGAUUAAUUCGAUGCAACGCGAAGAACCUUACCUGGGUUUGACAUGCACAGGACGUACCUAGAGAUAGGUAUUCCCUUGUGGCCUGUGUGCAGGUGGUGCAUGGCUGUCGUCAGCUCGUGUCGUGAGAUGUUGGGUUAAGUCCCGCAACGAGCGCAACCCUUGUCCUAUGUUGCCAGCGGGUAAUGCCGGGGACUCGUAGGAGACUGCCGGGGUCAACUCGGAGGAAGGUGGGGAUGACGUCAAGUCAUCAUGCCCCUUAUGUCCAGGGCUUCACACAUGCUACAAUGGCCAGUACAGAGGGCUGCGAAGCCGCAAGGUGGAGCGAAUCCCUUAAAGCUGGUCUCAGUUCGGAUUGGGGUCUGCAACUCGACCCCAUGAAGUCGGAGUCGCUAGUAAUCGCAGAUCAGCAACGCUGCGGUGAAUACGUUCCCGGGCCUUGUACACACCGCCCGUCACGUCAUGAAAGUCGGUAACACCCGAAGCCAGUGGCCUAACCUUUUGGAGGGAGCUGUCGAAGGUGGGAUCGGCGAUUGGGACGAAG
rnacentral:rRNA from 1 species